rnacentral:rRNA from 1 species
GGACGGGUGAGUAACACGUAGGCAACCUACCCUCUAGACUGGGAUAACUACCGGAAACGGUAGCUAAUACCGGAUAAUUCCCUGACCCACCUGGGCUAGGGAUGAAAGGCGGAGCAAUCUGCUGCUAGAGGAUGGGCCUGCGGCGCAUUAGCUAGUUGGUGGGGUAACGGCCUACCAAGGCGACGAUGCGUAGCCGACCUGAGAGGGUGAACGGCCACACUGGGACUGAGACACGGCCCAGACUCCUACGGGAGGCAGCAGUAGGGAAUCUUCCGCAAUGGGCGAAAGCCUGACGGAGCAACGCCGCGUGAGUGAUGAAGGUUUUCGGAUCGUAAAGCUCUGUUGCCAGGGAAGAACGUCCGGUAGAGUAACUGCUACCGGAGUGACGGUACCUGAGAAGAAAGCCCCGGCUAACUACGUGCCAGCAGCCGCGGUAAUACGUAGGGGGCAAGCGUUGUCCGGAAUUAUUGGGCGUAAAGCGCGCGCAGGCGGCUAUUUAAGUCUGGUGUUUAAACCUUGGGCUCAACCUGGGGUCGCACUGGAAACUGGGUGGCUUGAGUACAGAAGAGGAAAGUGGAAUUCCACGUGUAGCGGUGAAAUGCGUAGAGAUGUGGAGGAACACCAGUGGCGAAGGCGACUUUCUGGGCUGUAACUGACGCUGAGGCGCGAAAGCGUGGGGAGCAAACAGGAUUAGAUACCC